GGUGAGAUGGCCGAGCGGUCUAAGGCGCCAGACUAAGGACCAGGACAUUCGAUGUCCAAGUUUAUCUGGUCACAUUGUGGCGUGGGUUCGAAUCCCACUCUCAUCA
rnacentral:tRNA from 1 species